GAGAAGAUGAAGGAUAUUUCUACGCUCGCCGACGAUGCCAAGUUUCUCGUUCACCUUUAGGGAAUAAGGGAUGGGCUCUUGAUGUUCUCAUGCAUGCCCUGUCUGUCUCUUCAACCACUUCCCCUUGGAUUUUUUGAGAAAUGAACUGCUCAAUUACUCGCUCAAAUAAAGGAGAAGAUGAAUGAUAUUUCUACGCUCAAUUACUCGCGUAAAUUAAGGAGAAUAUAAGAGCCUUAAAGAGUUUUGAAUAUGGGGCCGCCUAGGUGGGCAUGCUUAAUAUAAAAGAAUAUAGGGCCGCUCAGGUGGACCGCCCAGGCUGUGUAGCAUACUUAAUAUAAGAGAAUAUGGGGCCGCUCAGGUGGACGUCCCAGGACUACACCGCCGCUCAGGGCCUACACGACCGCCUAGACUGCCGCCGAGGUCUAUACACCCGCCCAGGGCCUAAGGGGCGCCAAGGCCGAGCAUGGGAUGAUUGUUGAAGACUGGGCAGUAAAUUUCUAUGAAGCAACCUGGGUUCACCUCUUCAACAUCAAACCCCUAACCGUCACAAAUGGUGAGGUUUUGUUCAGAGUGGGUGUGAUACACUUCUGGCGCCAAUUUCCUUGAAUCUCCUAAAGUCAUCCAAUUCUUCCUAUCUUGGUUCAGAACAAGCACCAAAGGCUCAACCUCAAGCUUCUUUGGCUACAGUAACACAAACUUAGAGCGGAUCUUUGGGUGCUUCGGGAGACGACCUACUAUGAUAUCCGACGAUGCAAAUUCAGAAGGGUACAUGAGAGGGGUGUGUCUUGCAAGACUAGUGCCUAUCAAAAGCCCCAAAGCACCGUAGGGUUAUGUGUAUGUGAGGUACUACACAACAGAAGUACCCGUUGGUGAUGCUUCUCCUGUGGGACGGUAGAAGUUGCAACCUUGGACUCGAAGUUGGGACCUGAGACCCGAGGUAAGUGGAAAUCCCACCAACCUCGAAGCCAUCCUGUGAAAC